rnacentral:tRNA from 16 species
AUGGUGAUGCCUUUAGUCUUCAAAUCCGCG